AGCGAACGCUGGCGGCAGGCCUAAUACAUGCAAGUCGAGCGCACCUUCGGGUGAGCGGCGGACGGGUGAGUAACGCGUGGGAACGUGCCCUUUGGUACGGGAUAACUGAGGGAAACUUCAGCUAAUACCGUAUGUGCCCUACGGGGGAAAGAUUUAUCGCCAUUGGGGCGGCCCGCGUUGGAUUAGCUAGUUGGUGAGGUAAAGGCUCACCAAGGCUACGAUCCAUAGCUGGUCUGAGAGGAUGAUCAGCCACACUGGGACUGAGACACGGCCCAGACUCCUACGGGAGGCAGCAGUAGGGAAUCUUGCGCAAUGGGCGAAAGCCUGACGCAGCCAUGCCGCGUGAAUGAUGAAGGUCUUAGGAUUGUAAAGCUCUUUCACCGGUGAAGAUAAUGACGGUAACCGGAGAAGAAGCCCCGGCUAACUUCGUGCCAGCAGCCGCCGUAAAAC
rnacentral:rRNA from 1 species